GCCGCCCUCCCAUUGGCUGCCGCCCGCGCGCGCGCGCGCGGCGCCGCGUGCACGGCUCCGCGCGCGCUCGCGCUUCCCCCCCCUUUCCCCCCUUCUUUCCCAUAAUGGCGCCGAGCCGCCCGGCCCGCCAUCACCCCACGGCCUCACCUCCGCGCCCAGCCAAUCAGCGGCCCGGCCCCGCGCCCCCCCCUCCCUCCCCAGCCAAUGGGAGGGCGGCCAAUGCAUUGCUGGGGGGGGCAAUCAGGAAGAGCGGCCCCUUCCCCCGCCGCGUCCCUGGUAACAGGCGGCCCGCCGCGGGUCACGUGGGGGGGGGGGGGAGCGCGUUGCCAUGGCGACGGGGCAGCCGCGGGGAGGGGGGGGGGGCGGGGCUGGCGCGCGGGGCGGCCGUUAACGGUCGGCGGGCAGCCGUUAGCGCCGAGCUGCCUCAGCGGCCCCUCAGGCGCCGGGCCGGCCGGCUGCCGUGUCUGUUUAUCUAUCUAUUUAUCUAUCUAUUUAUUUAUUUUUAUUUUUGAUUUUUUAUUUUUUUUUCAACUUCCUGGUGUUCCGGUCAGCCCUGAGGCGCGGCGUGAAUUAAAAAAUUAAAAAAUUUCCCUCUCGGUGAAUUAAAAAGAGGCGCCUUAAAUGCGAGUCUGCGUGCUCAGUGUUAAACCUGCGGGUACCGUUAUAACGUGCGGCCCCGGCAAGAAACCCGUGGCUCCCUCAGCGGGUGAGGCCCGUAAAUGCGGAUCCCUAACCCCAGAGUCACGCCGGGGCACAAAGCUCUGUGUGCAAGUAGCGCUUCCUUAACGUGUUCCUUCACCUGCGCCUGUUAGCGAGCCGCUUCUGAUAUCGGCAAGUCCUCUGUCAGUCAGCCCUCCAUAAGCCACCAUUAGGAGCACUGAGUGGUACCGAGCUCUGAACCGAGGAAACCCGUCGCCCCUCAUCCAGAAGGCACGCAUGUGAAUUUAUCGUUUUAAUUGAUGUCUCUCCGUGAGUUUCGUAUAAUCAGCACUUGUAAGCUUAACAUGCUAAUGAACGGGCUCCCCUGUGAGGGGAACGAUCCUUCAGCAGCCAUGGACACCUCUGGGAAGGAGCACGAGGGCUCAGGAUGAGGCCGUUUGGAGAAGGCAGUGGCGAUCAUCCAUCUCCUCUCCCCCCGUAAAUGCAAAGAAAUCCACCUGGCCUUGCCACCUCCGCUGCCCUGCCUGGCCCGGCGAUGCUCCGAGCGCAGCAUCCACCACAACCUUCCCACCCUGCGUCGUGCAGGGUUCGCUACGCGGGGGCUGACAGCAGGAAAGGCAUCACCUGCAGCUUCCAUGCGGUUCCUGCUGUCCGCCCUGCGUCCAUCCUGAUGGAGAAGUCCCCAAACAGAGGGGACAAGCCCUCUGCUUGCCCGUCCCUCCCCAGAGCCCACCGUGCCUCGACUUCCAGGCGCCUGCCUGUGUGCCUCGGAGGGCCCGUCCCCCCGCUCCCCCUUUGGCAGCGCAGGUGGUAACGCGGGCAUUGUCUCGGCGCAGGGCUCUGCGUUGGAUAAUCUCAGCGGCUCAACUGUUUUUAUCUGGAUCUCCCUCCUGAACUGAUAAAUCUAAAUUGCACAUUUUCUAAACCGCUUAGCUUAGGGGUAAAUCUUGCAGGUAUUCUCCGAUGGCGAGCUGCUGUCUUUUGCACCUGUCUAGCACCAUCUACUGUAGCUUCACUGUACUGUUAGCCCUUCCCUUCCGUCUGCGCGCUUGCCGGUCCUGCAGGAGCUGCCUGCACCCCGAGGAGCUGGCGGAAGGACGUGAGCUCUGUUUUCACUGGAGAGGCUCGCCGAAGCUUUCCCUGCUAGCUAGUGGAGCUAGAAUUUGGGAUGUGGCAGGACGAGGGGUGGGAACGGGGCUUUGUCUGGGGCAAAGAGGGUCCAAACAAGAAGAAAUUUUCCAGUUGCUGCUAGAGGAUGCCGAGACUUCAGCUGGGAUCCUUGCCACCCAUUGAUUGGGGAGCUAUGGGGCUGCUAUGGAUUUGUAUGAUUAACUUUACAAAAAGCACCUUAAAGCUGGAAGGCAAAAUCAGAACUAAAUUGUGCUAAGCAUUACAGAUGGCGCGUUUUUUUUUCUUAAUAAAUCUGUUGAUGUGAGUAUUUCUGUAGGUGAUAGAUUAACAUAAAAACACUGCCAGUCUGUUCCAGGGCUCUAAAGCACAGAACAAGGUACAUCUUACGAUUUUGGUCGUUGUUGUUGUUGUUAUUAAUCCCCAAUUUAACUCUUUGAAGCUACUUGCCAGGAGAAGUAACUUGAUUCAGUAGCAAGCAGCAUGUUUUUCUACAACCCUUGUGAAAACUGGAAAUGAAGUGGAUUUGGCAGCUUCACCUUUAGAGUGCUGCAGCAAACCCGCAAACCUAAAGACCACAGGGUUUUGUCCUGGCUUUGUUUCUUGAUGAAGUUCUGAAAAGAGUUAAAUUAAAUCCAUGCUCUAACCAUCUGUAUAAUUCCUCCAUCCUCCCAACGCUGUGUAAGGGGUGCUGCAGAAGUCUGAGGAUUACCCUCCCCGGUAGUACCAUGCAUUUGCUAGCUUAAAAUUACUCCAACAGCACUUUUUCAUUUGCAUGGCUGGAGAGAAUCUGUUUUUGCAGUAAGUUUGUGUUUCAAAGCGGAUUUCUGUGUCCAUCAUUAUUGGUGGUUUGCAAGACUUCUCCUUUCUUUCCCCCCACCCCCCCUCGCCCCGUUUGAGGAAGUGGGAACAAAUGAAAUAAACCCAUCAUAAAAAAUAAUUUUGUCCAGGUGGAACAUAAAUCAGCCAAAAAAAUAUUAUUCUACAUGGCAAAUAAAAAGCAUAUGCUGUAUUAUUUAAAGCACAGCCUCCAUAUUCACAUGCAAAAUUAAUGCUACAGUGGGAGGCAAAACUGAUGGAGGCAGACAAUGAAAAUAUUAGGAGUAAAACAUGAUGCCAGGAACAAUUCAAGCAGAGCCACUUGCAGGGUCAUGGUCAUAUUCCAUUUCAAAUGGGCAUGGAAAUACUCUGUGGGUUAUUCUUCUCCAGAGAUGCACAGAUAAUAAGCACCUGCUCCCCAUGUCUGCUCGUCCCUUUUAACUGUUGAUUUAUUGAAUGUUUCUGAAAGCUGUGGCCAGGCUAGCGAGGGACACAGACCUCAGUGCCUGCGGGAAGAAAUGGGAGUGGACAGAAGUGUGCUGGCAGGUGCCCCGCUGGUGCCAUGGGUUGCAGCGCCCAAUGGAGUCCAAAACAAAAGCUGCAUUUUAUUCCAGGUCCCGAGCAGAAGCACCUUACUGCCAGAGUGGAGCUUUGCAGCCACGAGGUCCCAGUCAUGGAUGUCGGUGAGCCUGAAGCCCCGCUGCAUGGGAGAGGCAUGUGCCCGUUUAGAAACAGCAGAGAGAAAAGGCUGUUUAAUUAAAAAUGUGAAUCUGGAAGCGUCGGGCUAUUGAGAAUCGUUCCGAGCUGCAUAUUUUACAUGCACGGCUAAGGAAAAGGCUCACCGUAGCAACUGGAGUAAGGCACGGUUCAGCUCCUCCACGAUGCCAGGCAGUUUAUUAACCUGGAACUACAGAAUCACUCAAAAUGACAUUUAGCGGUGCUGAACUUCUGACACAAAUCCCCCAGCGCAAGGAAGCGGAGGGGCAGCCGCAGGGCCGAUCGCUGAGCCCUGCUGAGUCUUUGAACAGCAGCGGGAGAAGUGCUGCAGGGGAGCUGGAGCAGGAGGAUAAAAGAGCCCUGCCAGAGCCAGAAACCGUCGCAUUUUAACCCCGGUUCUGACCGCCGCUGCGGGUCUGAGCGGGUCACCUCAGGCCGGGGAUUUGGGAGCAAAGCAGCUAUGGGGAAAGCCGAGCUUUGGGCACGAGUGGAGCUUUUUGAGUUGUUUUUCCAAAUGAAGUUACAAAGAGUUUUGUCGAGACCGAGAGGCCUCCUGGUGCGUUUCACAGCCUAACAGCUGUAUUUCCCCCUGCAUAAAGCGCGGUUUUCUCUCCUCCCCAAUGCCUUGUGCCAUCGGUCCGUGACCAGCAUCAGCCAGAGGCCAGGUUUUUCACUUCUGCAGGUACCAGUGGAUUUCUGACUUGACAAUCAAGAAAAAGUUUCCCCAUCCUGACCUGCGUGCGUGCUCCACAUGUGCUCUGCUGCGUAACUGGAAAGGAGAAUUGGGGUACAGAGAGCACUGCCAAAUGUUCCCACACGCCUCCCGAUACGGGGGAGAUAAAUUUACCCUCAGAUGUUUUUCACCUCCA